GGGGAUGACAAGUCGGUAUGGUACAGCGGGGACUUCCUUACUGCUUUCUCUUAUAUGAGAGAAAUAUGAGGAAGUGAAUUGCCUGUGGUGACUUUCCGCUGUCACUGUGCACAAGAAGAACUACAGUAUGGCACGCUAAUUUUCUUGAAGGACAAGAUGCAGACUGCCGCUGUGACAGACAACUCACUGGAAACCCUUAUUCCACAAGUUACAGGUCCCUGAAUUCUGAUCCAUUGUUACUACUGAAUGAAAGCUGAUGAAUCCUAAAAAAAAAAAAAAAGGUUUUCCAGUUAUUCCUUUUCCUGUGACCGGACUCUGGACGGACAAUAUUUUUUGUUGCCAAAAUACAAGUGAAUUUUCAACAUGAAAAGCUCCACAUCAAACUUUUCAUUUCCAAACAGCUGUGCGGUAUGAUUUUAGAAAGAUUUAAGAUUUCUUUGAUCAAUAAUGUACAGUUAUGAAAGAUUAUACAAAUCAAGCCCCAGUGAACUUAGGCUGAAGUCAGGAGUGAGGCUUUCAACCUAAAGAAGGACAGUUCACUAGCUUUUUUGGAGGAAGAAGAAUUUAUCUCCUACUGAAAUAUUUGGGGCUUCUGGCAGCUAAAACCAAAGAUCUAGAUCUGCCAGAACCAGUGGCUUAAUCCAGGAUGCAUACUUCCAGCCGUCAGAUUGGCUUCAGUACUUGAAGCUGCCUGGCUAAAUGCCAUGUUUGGGGGUAUCAAUUCUCCUGUGUCAUCUGGCUUUCCUGUGUCUGCAUUGUGUGGCUUUUCUGCCAUUGCAAAGCAACAGAACAGAAUUACAUUUUUAGCAACUGGUGAUAUAGCAGAAAAAAAAAAAUCCUCAGCUCACUAAGUGCAGGUGGCAUGCUUGUCUGAAGGAAAUCUUUACUUGCAAUGGUGGGGGCACUGGAGAAACGUCCUGUUUGCCAUUAUUAUGGAAUGUCUCUUACAGUGAAAGGCGGCUGUGUGCUGUUUUGCUUUCAGAAGUUGGAAAUAGUUGAUAAUUACUUUGUAAUGCCUGUUAGAAAACAGCAAGUAAAUCAUCAUUUGUUUCCAAUAAAGCAGCUUCAGUUUUAA